rnacentral:rRNA from 1 species
UCCGGCGGCGGUAGCGGAGGGGAAACACCCGUUCUCCAUCCCGAACACGGAAGUUAAGCCCUCCAGCGCCGAUGGUACUUGUCUGUAGACGGACUGGAAGAGUAGGUCGCUGCCGGUU